GUCCACGCCGUAAACGAUGAAUGCUAGCCGUUGGGUAGCUUGCUAUUCAGUGGCGCAGCUAACGCAUUAAGCAUUCCGCCUGGGGAGUACGGCCGCAAGGUUGAAACUCAAAGGAAUUGACGGGGGCCCCGCACAAGCGGUGGAGCAUGUGGUUUAAUUCGACGCAACGCGCAGAACCUUACCAGGGUUUGACAUCCUGCGACCGCCCUCUAAUAGGGGUUUUCCCGCAAGGGACGCAGAGACAGGUGCUGCAUGGCUGUCGU
rnacentral:rRNA from 1 species